GCCGUAGCUCAGUGGUGGAACAUUUGCUUGGCAUGCAGAAGCUUCCAGAUUCAAUCCCUGGCAUCUCAA